rnacentral:lncRNA from 1 species
UCCUGGAUAUUCAUAUGAGGUACCCAAUCUUUCGAAACAAACAGACAAAUAUUAAUGGACUAAGGAAUCUCUUUCAUACCGCAUAUCUAUCUCUUUCAUGAGAAAAGGUAAAAGUGAAAGAAUUUUUUUUUUUCUAAUCCCCAAGGUUUUCAAUUUUAAACUUAAACAUCAGAAUUUAAAUAUGCUUAAAGAUAUUUCUCACAUUGAUAAUAG